rnacentral:piRNA from 1 species
UCUGAAUCGCCUAUUUACCAACGUAACUAGA